rnacentral:rRNA from 1 species
GUGGGGAAUUUUGGACAAUGGGCGCAAGCCUGAUCCAGCAAUGCCGCGUGCAGGAAGAAGGCCUUCGGGUUGUAAACUGCUUUUGUACGGAACGAAAAGGCUCUGGUUAAUACCUGGGGCUCAUGACGGUACCGUAAGAAUAAGCACCGGCUAACUACGUGCCAGCAGCCGCGGUAAUACGUAGGGUGCAAGCGUUAAUCGGAAUUACUGGGCGUAAAGCGUGCGCAGGCGGUUUUGUAAGACAGGCGUGAAAUCCCCGGGCUCAACCUGGGAAUGGCGCUUGGGACUGCAAGGCUGGAGUGCGGCAGAGGGGGAUGGAAUUCCGCGUGUAGCAGUGAAAUGCGUAGAUAUGCGGAGGAACACCGAUGGCGAAGGCAAUCCCCUGGGCCUGCACUGACGCUCAUGCACGAAAGCGUGGGGAGCAAACAGGAUUAGAAACCCGUGUAGUCC